rnacentral:rRNA from 1 species
GAUGAACGCUGGCGGCGUGCUUAACACAUGCAAGUCGAACGAUGAUGCCCAGCUUGCUGGGUGGAUUAGUGGCGAACGGGUGAGUAACACGUGAGUAACAUGCCCUUGACUCUGGGAUAAGCCUGGGAAACUGGGUCUAAUACCGGAUACGACCAUCUGGCGCAUGUCAUGGUGGUGGAAAGCUUUUGUGGUUUUGGAUGGACUCGCGGCCUAUCAGCUUGUUGGUGGGGUAAUGGCCUACCAAGGCGACGACGGGUAGCCGGCCUGAGAGGGUGACCGGCCACACUGGGACUGAGACACGGCCCAGACUCCUACGGGAGGCAGCAGUGGGGAAUAUUGCACAAUGGGCGCAAGCCUGAUGCAGCGACGCCGCGUGCGGGAUGACGGCCUUCGGGUUGUAAACCUCUUUCAGUAGGGAAGAAGCGAAAGUGACGGUACCUGCAGAAGAAGCGCCGGCUAACUACGUG